rnacentral:rRNA from 1 species
UUGAUAGUGCCUUACUACUUGGAUAACCGUGGUAAUUCUAGAGCUAAUACAUGCUAAAAGACCCGACUUUGGAAGGGUUGUAUUUAUUAGAUUAAAAACCAAUGCCCUCUGGGCUCACUGGUGAAUCAUGAUAACUUUACGAAUCGCAUAGCCUUGUGCUGGCGAUGGCUCAUUCAAAUUUCUUCCCUAUCAACUUUCGAUGUUUGGGUAGUGGCCAAACAUGGUUGCAACGGGUAACGGAGGGUUAGGGCUCGACCCCGGAGAAGGAGCCUGAGAAACGGCUACUACAUCCAAGGAAGGCAGCAGGCGCGCAAAUUACCCAAUCCCGAUUCGGGGAGGUAGUGACAAUAAAUACUGAUACAGGGCUCUUUUGGGUCUUGUAAUUGGAAUGAGUACAAUUUAAAUCCCUUAACGAGGAACAAUUAGAGGGCAAGUCUGGUGCCAGCAGCCGCGGUAAUUCCAGCUCUAAUAGCGUAUAUUAAAGUUGUUGUGGUUAAAAAGCUCGUAGUUGAACCUUGGGCCUGGCUGGCGGGUCCGCCUCACCGCGUGUACUUCGCCGGCCGGGCCUUUCCCUCUGUGGAACCCUAUGCCCUUCACUGGGUGUGGUGGGGAAACAGGACUUUUACUUUGAAAAAAUUAGAGUGCUCCAGGCAGGCCUAUGCUCGAAUAUAUUAGCAUGGAAUAAUAAAAUAGGACGUGUGGUUCUAUUUUGUUGGUUUCUAGGACCGCCGUAAUGAUUAAUAGGGACAGCCGGGGGCAUCAGUAUUCAAUUGUCAGAGGUGAAAUUCUUGGAUUUAUUGAAGACUAACUACUGCGAAAGCAUUUGCCAAGAAUGUUUUCAUUAAUCAGGAACGAAAGUUAGGGGAUCGAAGACGAUCAGAUACCGUCGUAGUCUUAACCAUAAACUAUGCCGACUAGGGAUCGGACG